rnacentral:lncRNA from 1 species
AAUUUUUUCUAUUUUUUAAUGGAUGAGCACAUAAGCAAUGACUCUUACAACAUGGGAAACUAUUUUUCCCAGGAUUAUCCUUCCUCCAGAAAACACUGGUUUAGGAAUAAAUGAGCUCCAUGGCAGUGGGACAGGGCAGGAAGCAUCAUGCUCAUGCACAGAACUGGCCGUGUUGUGCCUCUCAUCCGUGGCCUUGACUGGGAGAAGACAUUAAUAGGAUGUCUCCCCUCUUCUUGGGAUCUAGGAGAAACUGGCCAAGGGAUGAAGGAGUUGUUGGAAGCUAAAGAGAUGGGGCCACCGAUGGCCAACACUGGAGAGGACACAGUGGGUGAAUCCUUGGUUUUAACCAAUUCAUCUGCUCUCAUCCCACCCGGGAGGAUGCACACUGCAAGUCCUCCACUUCGGCCUGCUGUGAGUUACAAGUCUGGCUUUCAAAGGCGAUUCUGAUGACUCUGAUUUACAAUGACAGCAACUUCAGUGGCAUUUAAAGAGACUGGAAGGAAGAGAUAAAUAAGCUUGAAAAGUGCUUAAUAAAGCAAUGGAAAAAGCAUAAACGCUCA